rnacentral:other from 1 species
UUGUUCCUGCGGUAUUCGUGACUUGGCUUAUCAUCUCUUACCUAUGCUUAUGGCAUCAGGUUACCGGAUUAGAAAGUAGGUGAGAUCGUUUCUUGUCAAACGAACCCGAAGCUUUCUUGAUGGUGACCAAUCUUGAACUUUAGGGUUCGAGGUGCCGGCCUAGACGGUACACGCGGGGCAUUA